GAUGAACGCUAGCGGGAGGCCUAACACAUGCAAGCCGAGCGGUAUUGUUUCUUCGGAAAUGAGAGAGCGGCGUACGGGUGCGUAACACGUGUGCAACCUGCCUUUAUCUGGGGGAUAGCCUUUCGAAAGGAAGAUUAAUACUCCAUAAUAUAUUGAACGGCAUCGUUUAAUAUUGAAAGCUCCGGCGGAUAGAGAUGGGCACGCGCAAGAUUAGCUAGUUGGUGAGGUAACGGCUCACCAAGGCGAUGAUCUUUAGGGGGCCUGAGAGGGUGAUCCCCCACACUGGUACUGAGACACGGACCAGACUCCUACGGGAGGCAGCAGGGAGGAAUAUUGGUCAAUGGGUGCAAGCCUGAACCAGCCCUCCCGGGUGAAGGACGACUGCCCUAUGGGUUUUAAACUUCUUUUUUAUAGGGAUAAACCUCCCCUCGUGAGGGUAGCUGAAGGUAUUAAACGAAUAAGCACCGGCUAACUCCGU
rnacentral:rRNA from 1 species